AUCCAACACUUGAAUGGAGGAAGCAGUGCACAUUCUUCAGCUCUGCAACACAUCAAUUGAUGUUGACACACAAACACAGCCUAACUAUGGCAGCGGAGAGGAAUAGCUCUACUCACCACUCCACAAGCCAGUUACCCAGCAAAGAUGCAAAUUCAAAUGUCAGCUUCAUUUUUCCUCAAAGGCAAUGUCAACUUGGUGAACAAGCGGGAUCUGAAAAUCAGGAAUGAUAGAGGAGGCAGUUUCCCAUGUGACCUGUGAUUGAUUGUCAGUCCGGCAUCCUCACCUAUACAUGAAGGCAGCUGUAUUUAAAGACUGAGCAGACAGAUAUCAGGAGAGGAAAAUAAGUUUUUGGAUGGGAGCAGUGCCUUGGAAAAUCCUUUUCGGACCCUUUCACGAGUGGCAGUGAAAGGGAGGAAGCUUACACAAGACUCAAGUCGAAAGCAAUACCAGAACAAUGCUGAAAAGGAAGCAACAGUGCCACAUAGCCCCAGACCUACACCUAUGUUUGGAGAUGGACAGAAGUAGAAAUGUACCCUCUCCACCAAUGAUAAAUGCUUUUGGGGAACUACUUGGGGGUGAUUUUAGUCGACUUGCAGUCUACAGUUGGAGUUGAAAAAGAGUUGCUGUAUUUUAAACAGGUUAUUAGCUCACCCUCUGCUUGUCCUCUGAAUUGGUGGAGGAGCAAUGCACAGCAUUACCCACUGCUGUCAUCUUUAGACUUUUUUUUUUUUUUUUAACUUUGGCACUGUUAUUAUGGUGUAAAGUUAUAAAUGUAAAAAAUAUGACAUUACCCGAUGCGCGGACAUGUUGGAGGUAUACGAAUGUAAACAAUGGCUAGACGGGGAUAGAACUGCAAGGUAAUAUAUGAUCGGAACAUGUCUUUUUCACAAGAACCUGUGGGACAACGCACAAAAAACUACUAAAGCCUUUCGAGAAGGACACUGCCAGCAAGAAAAAGAGAGGUCUUUUGGUUCUGCUGUGUGUGCCUCUUCACCCCACCUGUAACUUGAGUCUUCCUGCAUUACCUUGAGCUUCCCCACGAUAUUGCGAUAAUUAUCAUACCAUGCGAUUAAUACCGCGAUAAAACCGAACCGAACCUUUUGAUACACCUCUUGUCAUAAUACAGUGACUGCUCAGUGUUUACAAUCCUGUAUACAGCAAAUGUAUGACUACAGACUUUAGACUCAAGACAAAGAAAAAGACCUGAUGGAAAACAUCUUUGUAAUUCAUGAAAUCAUCUUUUCAAUAUCUACUGUGGACAGUUGAACUUCUAGUUGCCAGGUUAAAUGCAAAUGUUGAGUUUGUGUCCAAACAUGAGCAGAAAAUAGAUUUACCUUUCAGCCAGUAAUCUCCAGAAACAUGUUAACUGCUGCUCUUAGACUGCAGUGAGAUGCAAGAUAUGAGAAAGGAGAUAAGUGUGUCGUUUGUCUCCAUCUGUGUGACUGGCCGGAAACCUGAAUGUGAUCGCCAGCCAGCCAGAGCUGGUGACCUUGGAGGUCUAUGUCAGGGCAACAGAUCCACUUCCUGCAUUGAUUUUUAUUUUCAUGGUUGGGCUAUUUGCAUGGUUGCCCUCCAGAUGCAUCCAGGUAAAGUCAGCAGUGGCGACAUGGAAUAUGAACUUGUCUACAUUAUUCUCACCCUGGCCUAGGAGAUGAUGUGACAUCUACUGUUACCCUCAUAAAAUUGUCAGAUUGUCAAAGAAAAUGUGUUUUCCCUUUAGUCUCCACCUUAGAAGGCAAAAUCCAUGCUCUGUAGGGUUAAAGUCUGGAGACUGACUAAACACUGCCACUUAUCUUUUCUUUCCCCAGUUGAAUUGUAAUCUUGCUGCUUGGUGAAGUUUUCCCAAUAAAUUUGGACAUCUCUUUCUUUAAAUUGACAGACAAAAUUUUUCUGUAAACGUCACAGUUCAUGUUGCUGC